GGUGACAGGUGGUGGCAUGGUUGUCGUCAGUUCGUGUCGUGAGAUGUUGGGUUAAGUCCGCAACGAGCGCAACCCCUAUUGUUAGUUGCCAUCAUUCAGUUGGGCACUCUAGCGAGACUGCCAGUAAUAAACCGGAGGAAGGUGGGGAUGACGUCAAAUCAUCAUGCCCCUUAUGACCUGGGCUACACACGUGCUACAAUGGUUGGUACAACGAGUUGCGAGUCGGUGACGGCGAGCUAAUCUCUUAAAGCCAAUCUCAGUUCGGAUUGUAGGCUGCAACUCGCCUACAUGAAGUCGGAAUCGCUAGUAAUCGCGGAUCAGCACGCCGCGGUGAAUACGUUCCCGGGCCUU
rnacentral:rRNA from 1 species